AUUGUAUGUCUUACUUAUUUACUCAUUUGACAUUUUAGUUAGACACUAGCAGUAUUGUUUUCUUUGAAUACAUUUAAAGGUCCUAGAUGUAUUUCUUUUUGAUGUUCAUCUUCUAACUCAUUCCCUCCUAUCAAUCUCAGACUGCUGUAAACAAAUGAUUUUUUUGCCCAUUUUUUUUUUACUGUUAGUUAUCAUAUUUAUUUUUCUUAAACAAGCUGUACUGGUUAUACAGUCUGAAUUUGGAGAAUAGACGUCUUCAUUCAGGAGGGGAAAUUGAGCCAAGUUUGAAUAUAAUCAUUGGGUAACAAAUCCAGAAGAUUAAGUUACUAAGGAGAACAUGCAAAGUAAACACUUGCAUUUUAUGAACUACCUUCAAUUUAAAUAGAGAACUGGGUAACUGUAUAUGACAUGUUUUGGGAGCAAGACCUGUUAAACCUACCUACUUCCUACUGUUUUCAUUUGAAAAAUAAAUCAAUUAUUAAACAGUUAUUCUACACAUUUAAAGACUGUAAGUGAUUUAACCUUG
rnacentral:lncRNA from 1 species